rnacentral:rRNA from 1 species
CAGUCGCCGCGGGAAAACGUAGGUGGCAAGCGUCGUCCGGAAUUAUUGGGCGUAAAGGGCUCGCAGGCGGUUUCUUAAGUCUGAUGUGAAAGCCCCCGGCUCAACCGGGGAGGGUCAUUGGAAACUGGGAAACUUGAGUGCAGAAGAGGAGAGUGGAAUUCCACGUGUAGCGGUGAAAUGCGUAGAGAUGUGGAGGAACACCAGUGGCGAAGGCGACUCUCUGGUCUGUAACUGACGCUGAGGAGCGAAAGCGUGGGGAGCGAACAGGAUUAGAUACCCCUGUAGUCCCUGUCUCUUAUAC